rnacentral:rRNA from 1 species
UACGUAGGGUGCAAGCGUUUAAUCGGAAUUACUGGGCGUAAAGCGUGCGCAGGCGGUUGUGCAAGACAGAUGUGAAAUCCCCGGGCUUAACCUGGGAACUGCAUUUGUGACUGCACAGCUGGAGUGCGGCAGAGGGGGAUGGAAUUCCGCGUGUAGCAGUGAAAUGCGUAGAUAUGCGGAGGAACACCGAUGGCGAAGGCAAUCCCCUGGGCCUGCACUGACGCUCAUGCACGAAAGCGUGGGUAGCGAACAGG